UACGUAGGGUGCAAGCGUUUGUCCGGAAUUAUUGGGGCGUAAAGAGCUCGUAGGCGGUCUGUUACGUCGGCUGUGAAAACCUGGGGCUCAACUCCGGGCCUGCAGCCGAUACGGGCGGACUAGAGUUCGGCAGGGGAGACUGGAAUUCCUGGUGUAGCGGUGAAAUGCGCAGAUAUCAGGAGGAACACCGGUGGCGAAGGCGGGUCUCUGGGCCGAUACUGACGCUGAGGAGCGAAAGCGUGGGGAGCGAACAGG
rnacentral:rRNA from 1 species